rnacentral:snRNA from 1 species
GUGCUCACUUUGGCAGCACACACACUAAAAUUGGAAUGAUACAGAGAUUAGCAUGGACCCUGCACAAAGAUGACAUGCAAACUGGGGAAGCAUUUCAUAUUUUU